rnacentral:rRNA from 1 species
UACGUAGGGUGCGAGCGUUAAUCGGAAUUACUGGGCGUAAAGCGUGCGCAGGCGGUGAUGUAAGACAGGUGUGAAAUCCCCGGGCUUAACCUGGGAACUGCAUUUGUGACUGCAUUGCUGGAGUGCGGCAGAGGGGGAUGGAAUUCCGCGUGUAGCAGUGAAAUGCGUAGAGAUCGGAAAGAACACCAACGGCGAAAGCACUCUGCUGGGCCGACACUGACACUGAGAGACGAAAGCUAGGGGAGCGAAUGGG